rnacentral:rRNA from 1 species
GAUGAACGCUAGCGACAGGCCUAACACAUGCAAGUCGAGGGGCAACGGGGCGUAGCAAUACGCUGCCGGCGACCGGCGGAUGGGUGAGUAACGCGUAUGCAACCUGACCUUCAGCAGGGGGAUAGCCCGUUGAAAGACGGAUUAAUACCCCAUAACACAGGGGCUCCGCAUGGAGAUUAUUGUUAAAGGGAUGCUUCCUUCGGGGGUAUUCCGGCUGAAGAUGGGCAUGCGUUCCAUUAGGUAGUUGGUUGAGGUAACGGCUCACCAAGCCUACGAUGGAUAGGGGAACUGAGAGGUUGGUCCCCCACACUGGUACUGAGACACGGACCAGACUCCUACGGGAGGCAGCAGUGAGGAAUCUUGGUCAAUGGACGGAAGUCUGAACCAGCCAUGUCGCGUGAAGGAGGACGGCCCUAAGGGUUGUAAACUUCUUUUGCAGCGGAAUAAAGUAUUCCACGUGAUGGGAUAUUGCAAGUACGCUGCGAAUAAGGAUCGGCUAACUCCGUGCC